AAAUGUUUUUACUUUUUUCACAUUUAGAGAAGAAGGAUGCUACAGAACCCGAAGAUAUAAAGGCAUAUACAGGCCCACCAAAAACAAAACUUAUGAGGAAAAAGAAUAAGAAACAUUCAACAUUAAACUCUGGAAAAAAGGAAUACAGUUUGAUUGAAGAACUGAUAAAGG